rnacentral:lncRNA from 1 species
AGUCCAGUUCUCUCCCCAGCGCAUCAUACUGCUGCGGGCGGUGACAAUGCUGGAUCUCCUCCAACACCUGCGGCGGCCACACCGACCCCGCCACCGCCUCCACCACGGUCUCCAACUCCUCCACCGCGUUCUCCAACUCCUCCACCGCGUUCUCCAACGCCAAAAAGAUCGGCCCCACCCCCUCCACCGCCUGCACCGCCCUCUCCAAAGAGUGCACGGUCGGUCCCCUCGCCUCCAAAGCGAGGUAGUAAGAAGCGGUCCGUCCAAGAAGGACCGAAGUCAUCGGUCCCACCUCUAAAGAAGGCUGCCUC